GCUACUAUUGCAUAGUGCUGAGGGUUGAGUGCAGUGGGUCAGGGUCAUAGUUUGCAGGGCUGGGUGUUGAAGCUACAGGUGUUGGAGGCAGCUGGUGAUGAUAAGAA